CACCGGUGCAUUCUCCUCCUCCACCGUAUUAUUACAAAUCUCCACCACCACCAAAGAAAGAAUACAAGUAUCCAUCUCCACCACCACCUAUUUACAAGUAUAAGUCUCCUCCUCCCCCAGUCCAUUCUCCUCCUCCUCCUUACAAAUACUCAUCUCCACCACCACCGGUGCAUUCUCCUCCCCCUCCAUACUAUUACAAAUCUCCACCACCACCAAAGAAAGAAUACAAAUACUCAUCUCCACCACCACCUGUUUACAAGUAUAAGUCUCCUCCACCUCCCGUUCACUCACCACCUCCACCACACUAUGUCUAUGCAUCACCACCUCCACCACACUAUGUCUAUGCAUCACCACCUCCACCACACUAUGUCUAUGCAUCACCACCUCCACCACACUAUGUCUAUGCAUCACCACCUCCACCACACUAUGUCUAUGCAUCACCACCUCCACCUGUCCAUUCCCCACCUCCACCACAUUACAUCUAUUCCUCACCUCCUCCCCCUCACUACUAAAUAGUGGUUUAGCUGAUCAACCAUAUUGGUAAGCUUCUUGGUACACCCUAUGUUAUUGUAACAUUAUUGAUGCACACUCAAGCAAACUUACACUCUUAUACUUAAUCCUUACUUAUAAUCACAAGCAAGC
rnacentral:lncRNA from 1 species